rnacentral:rRNA from 1 species
CCGGUAAACGGCGGCCGUAACUAUAACGGUCCUAAGGUAGCGAAAUUCCUUGUCGGGUAAGUUCCGACCUGCACGAAUGGCGUAAUGAUGGCCAGGCUGUCUCCACCCGAGACUCAGUGAAAUUGAACUCGCUGUGAAGAUGCAGUGUACCCGCGGCAAGACGGAAAGACCCCGUGAACCUUUACUAUAGCUUGACACUGAACAUUGAGCCUUGAUGUGUAGGAUAGGUGGGAGGCUUUGAAGUGUGGACGCCAGUCUGCAUGGAGCCGACCUUGAAAUACCACCCUUUAAUGUUUGAUGUUCUAACGUUGACCCGUAAUCCGGGUUGCGGACAGUGUCUGGUGGGUAGUUUGACUGGGGCGGUCUCCUCCUAAAGAGUAACGGAGGAGCACGAAGGUUGGCUAAUCCUGGUCGGACAUCAGGAGGUUAGUGCAAUGGCAUAAGCCAGCUUGACUGCGAGCGUGACGGCGCGAGCAGGUGCGAAAGCAGGUCAUAGUGAUCCGGUGGUUCUGAAUGGAAGGGCCAUCGCUCAACGGAUAAAAGGUACUCCGGGGAUAACAGGCUGAUACCGCCCAAGAGUUCAUAUCGACGGCGGUGUUUGGCACCUCGAUGUCGGCUCAUCACAUCCUGGGGCUGAAGUAGGUCCCAAGGGUAUGGCUGUUCGCCAUUUAAAGUGGUACGCGAGCUGGGUUUAGAACGUCGUGAGACAGUUCGGUCCCUAUCUGCCGUGGGCGCUGGAGAACUGAGGGGGGCUGCUCCUAGUACGAGAGGACCGGAGUGGACGCAUCACUGGUGUUCGGGUUGUCAUGCCAAUGGCACUGCCCGGUAGCUAAAUGCGGAAGAGAUAAGUGCUGAAAGCAUCUAAGCACGAAACUUGCCCCGAGAUGAGUUCUCCCUGACUCCUUGAG